GACGACGCUGGCGGCGUGCCUAAUACAUGCAAGUAGAACGAGUUGCGAACGGGUGAGUAACACGUGGGAACCUGCCUCAUAGAGGGGGAUAACUACUGGAAACGGUAGCUAAUACCGCAUACCAUCAGAUGUGACCAGCUGGGAUGUGCUAGUAGGUGGGGUAACGGCUCACAUAGGCGACGAUCCCUAGCUGGUCUGAGAGGAUGACCAGCCACCCUGGAAUGGAGACACGGUCCAGACCCCUACGGGAGGCAGCAGUGGGGAAUAUUGCAAAAUGGGCGCAAGCCUGAUGCAGCCAUGCCGGGUGUAGGAAGAAGGCCUUCGGGUUGUAAAGUACUUUCAGCGGGGAGGCGUUACCCGCAGAAGAAGCACCGGCUAACUCCGUGCCAGCCGCCGCGGUAAUUC
rnacentral:rRNA from 1 species